AGUUUGUUACUUUAGUUUCUGCUGUGGAAGGCGGUGAAAAUCCGCCACUGUGCCGCAACGGUGAGCUCUUUGGCUAAAAGCCAUAAGAAAAGUCCGGUCUUCAGCAAGUAAUCUUUGACGAGCAUCAACCUUGGGAAGGUUAACCCCAACUGAUGCUCCC
rfam:Microgenomates (Pacebacteria) bacterium GW2011_GWA1_46_10 TX28_C0004, whole genome shotgun sequence.